UGGGGAAUUUUGCACAAUGGGGGAAACCCUGAUGCAGCGACGCCGCGUGAUUUAGAAGGCCUUCGGGUUGUAAAAAUCUUUUCUAUGGGAAGAAAAUGACAGUACCAUAGGAAUAAGGACCGGCUAAUUUCGUGCCAGCAGCCGCGGUAAUACGUAAGGUCCGAGCGUUGUCCGGAAUCAUUGGGCGUAAAGGGUACGUAGGCGGGUAAGCAAGUUAGAAGUGAAAUCCUAUAGCUCAACUAUAGUAAGCUUUUAAAACUGCUCAUCUUGAGGUAUGGAAGGGAAAGUGGAAUUCCUAGUGUAGCGGUGAAAUGCGCAGAUAUUAGGAGGAAUACCGGUGGCGAAGGCGACUUUCUGGCCAUAACCUGACGCUGAGGUACGAAAGCGUGGGUAGCAAACAGG
rnacentral:rRNA from 1 species